GAAUAUUGGACAAUGGGGGGAACCCUGAUCCAGCCAUGCCUCGUGUGUGAAGAUUGCCUUUUGGUUGUUAUGCACUUUAAGCUAGGAGGUGGCUACCUGUAUUAAUACUUUAGGACAGUGGACGUUACUCGCAGAAUAAUCACCGGAUAACCUUGUGCCCGCAGCCGCGGUAAUACAGAGGGUGCGAGCGUAAAUCGGAUGUACUGGGCGUAAAGCGUGCGUAGGAGGAAAAUUAAGUCAAAUGUGAAAUCCCCGAGCUUAACUUGGGAAUUGCAUUCGAUACUGGUUGGCUAGAGUAUGGGAGAGGAUGGUAGAAUUCAAGGUGUAGAGGUGAAAGGAGUAGAGAUCUGGAGGAAUACAGAUGGCGAAGGCAGCCAUCUGGACUAAUACUGACGCUGAGGUACGAAAGCAUGGGGAGCAAACA
rnacentral:rRNA from 1 species